AUUGAACGCUGGCGGCAGGCCUAACACAUGCAAGUCGAACGAGUGGCGGACGGGUGAGUAAUGUCUGGGAAACGGCCUGAUGGAGGGGGAUAACUACUGGAAACGGUAGCUAAUACCGCAUACCAUCAGAUGUGCCCAUAUGGGAGUAGCUAGUAGGUGGGGUAAAGGCUAACCUAGGCGACGAUCCCUAGCUGGUCGGAGAGGAUGACCGGCACCAUGGGAACUGAGACACGGUCCAGACUCCUACGGGAGGCAGCAGUGGGGAAUAUUGCACAAUGGGGGCAAGCCUGAUGCAGCCAUGCCGCGUGUGUGAGGAAGGCCUUCGGGUUGUAAAGCACUUUCAGCGGGGAGGCGUUACCUGCAGAAGAAGCACCGGCUAACUCCGUGCCAGCAGCCGCGGUAAUAC
rnacentral:rRNA from 1 species